CUGGUUGAUCCUGCCAGUAGCAUACGCUUGUCUCAAAGAUUAAGCCAUGCAUGUCUAAGUAUAAAACAAAUCUAUACGUGAAACUGCGAAUGGCUCAUUAUAUCAGUUAUAGUUUAUUUGAUGGUCCUUACUACUUGGAUAACCGUAGUAAUUCUAGAGCUAAUACAUGCACCAAAUCCCGACUCACGGAGGGACGUAUUUAUUAGAUGGAAACCAAUGCGGGUUCGCCCCGGAUUCAGGUGAUUCAUAAUAACUUUCGGAUCGGCUUGCCGAUGCAUCAUUCAAGUUUCUGCCCUAUCAGGUCUGGAUGGUAGGGGUAUUGGCCUACCAUGCCUUUAACGGGUAACGGAGAAUUAGGGUUCGAUUCCGGAGAGGGGCCUGAGAAAUGGCCACCACAUCCAAGGAAGGCAGCAGGCGCGUAAUUAACCCAAUCCUGACACAGGGAGGUAGUGACAAUAAAUAACACCGCAGGGCUUUUAAGGUCUUGCGUUAGGAAUGAGAACAAUUUAAACCCCUUAUCGAGGAUCAAUUGGAGGGCAAGUCUGGUGCC
rnacentral:rRNA from 1 species